rnacentral:rRNA from 1 species
UACGGAGGGGGCUAGCGUUGUUCGGAAUUACUGGGCGUAAAGCGCACGUAGGCGGCGAUUUAAGUCAGAGGUGAAAGCCCGGGGCUCAACCCCGGAACUGCCUUUGAGACUGGAUUGCUAGAAUCUUGGAGAGGCGAGUGGAAUUCCGAGUGUAGAGGUGAAAUUCGUCGAUAUUCGGAAGAACACCAGUGGCGAAGGCGGCUCGCUGGACAAGUAUUGACGCUGAGGCACGAAAGCGUGGGGAGCAAACAGG